UACAGGUGGUGCAAACGUUGCUCGGAAUCAUUGGGCGUAAAGCGCACGUAGGCGGUUCGUUAUGUCGGAUGUGAAAGCCCUUGGCUUAACCGAGGAAGUGCAUCCGAAACUGGCGAGCUAGAGUACUAAAGAGGAUCGCGGAAUUCCCGGUGUAGAGGUGAAAUUCGUAGAUAUCAGGAGGAACACCGGUGGCGAAGGCGGGUCUCUGGGCCGAUACUGACGCUGAGGAGCGAAAGCGUGGGGAGCGAACAGG
rnacentral:rRNA from 1 species